GAACUCUGGAAUGAGUCUUUGCCAAAAAGACGUUUACGUUAUGCUCGUAGGCGUCGCCCAAGGAUGAGGCCGCGACCGAUCAGGUUGUUGGUGAGGUAAUGGCUCACCAAGCCUUUUACCGGUGCGGGCCGUGAGAGCGGGAGCCCGGAGAUGGGCACUGAGACAAGGGCCCAGGCCCUACGGGGCGCAGCAGUCGCGAAAACUUUGCAAUACACGAAAGUGUGACAGGGCUAUCCCGAGUGCCAUCCGCUGAGGAAGGCUUUUACCCAGUCUAGAACGCUGGGGGAAUAAGGAGAGGGCAAGUCUGGUGUCAGCCGCCGCGGUAAUACCAGCUCUCCGAGUGGUGUGGAUGUUUAUUGGGCCUAAAGCAUCCGUAGCUGGCUGAGUUAGUCCCUUGUUAAAUCCACCGAAUUAAUCGUUGGAUUGCGGGGGAUACUGCUCGGCUAGGGGACGAGAGAGGCAGACGGUAUUUCUGGGGUAGGGGUGAAAUCCUAUAAUCCCAGGAGGACCACCAGUGGCGAAGGCUGUCUGCUAGAACGCGCCCGACGGUGAGGGAUGAAAGCUGGGGGAGCGAACCGGAUUAGAUACCCGGGUAGUCCCAGCUGUAAACGAUGCAGACUAGGUGUUUGGACGGCCACGUGCCGUUCUAGUGCCGCAGGGAAGCUGUUAAGUCUGCCGCCUGGGGAGUACGAUCGCAAGAUUGAAACUUAAAGGAAUUGGCGGGGGAGCACCACAAGGGGUGAAGCUUGC
rnacentral:rRNA from 1 species